CGUCCUAUUAGCUAGUUGGUGAGGUAAUGGCUCACCAAGGCUACGAUGGGUAGGGGUUCUUAGUGGAAGGUCCCCCACACUGGCACUGAGAUACGGGCCAGACUCCUACGGGAGGCAGCAGUAGGGAAUAUUGGUCAAUGGGCGCAAGCCUGAACCAGCCAUGCCGCGUGCAGGAUGAAGGCUCUCUGAGUUGUAAACUGCUUUUGUACAGGAGCAAAAAAAUCCCUGCGGGGGUUCUUGAGAGUACUGUAAGAAUAAGCACCGGCUAAUUCCGUGCCAGCAGCCGCGGUAAUACGGGAGGUGCAAGCGUUAUCCGGUUUUAUUGGGUUUAGAGGGUGCGUAGGCGGCUUAUUAAGUCAGUUGUGAAAUCCUAGUGCUUAACGCUAGAACUGCGAUUGAUACUAUU
rnacentral:rRNA from 1 species